rnacentral:rRNA from 1 species
GAUGAACGUUUGCGGCGUGCCUAAUACAUGCAAGUCGAGCGAACAGACGAGGAGCUUGCUCCUUUGACGUUAGCGGCGGACGGGUGAGUAACACGUGGGUAACCUACCUAUAAGACUGGGAUAACUUCGGGAAACCGGAGCUAAUACCGGAUAAUAUUUUGAACCGCAUGGUUCGAUAGUGAAAGAUGGCUUUGCUAUCACUUAUAGAUGGACCUGCGCCGUAUUAGCUAGUUGGUAAGGUAACGGCUUACCAAGGCAACGAUACGUAGCCGACCUGAGAGGGUGAUUGGCCACACUGGAACUGAGACACGGUCCAGACUCCUACGGGAGGCAGCAGUAGGGAAUCUUCCGCAAUGGGCGAAAGCCUGACGGAGCAACGCCGCGAGAGUGAUGAAGGUCUUCGGAUCGUAAAACUCUGUUAUUAGGGAAGAACAAACGUGUAAGUAACUGUGCACGUCUUGACGGUACCUAAUCAGAAAGCCACGGCUAACUACGUGCCAGCAGCCGCGGUGAUACGUAGGUGGCAAGCGUUAUCCGGAAUUAUUGGGCGUAAAGCGCGCGUAGGCGGUUUUUUAAGUCUGAUGUGAAAGCCCACGGCUCAACCGUGGAGGGUCAUUGGAAACUGGAAAACUUGAGUGCAGAAGAGGAAAGUGGAAUUCCAUGUGUAGCGGUGAAAUGCGCAGAGAUAUGGAGGAACACCAGUGGCGAAGGCGACUUUCUGGUCUGUAACUGACGCUGAUGUGCGAAAGCGUGGGGAUCAAACAGGAUUAGAUACCCUGGUAGUCCACGCCGUAAACGAUGAGUGCUAAGUGUUAGGGGGUUUCCGCCCCUUAGUGCUGCAGCUAACGCAUUAAGCACUCCGCCUGGGGAGUACGACCGCAAGGUUGAAACUCAAAGGAAUUGACGGGGACCCGCACAAGCGGUGGAGCAUGUGGUUUAAUUCGAAGCAACGCGAAGAACCUUACCAAAUCUUGACAUCCUUUGACCCUUCUAGAGAUAGAAGUUUCCCCUUCGGGGGACAAAGUGACAGGUGGUGCAUGGUUGUCGUCAGCUCGUGUCGUGAGAUGUUGGGUUAAGUCCCGCAACGAGCGCAACCCUUAAGCUUAGUUGCCAUCAUUAAGUUGGGCACUCUAAGUUGACUGCCGGUGACAAACCGGAGGAAGGUGGGGAUGACGUCAAAUCAUCAUGCCCCUUAUGAUUUGGGCUACACACGUGCUACAAUGGACAAUACAAAGGGCAGCGAAACCGCGAGGUCAAGCAAAUCCCAUAAAGUUGUUCUCAGUUCGGAUUGUAGUCUGCAACUCGACUACAUGAAGCUGGAAUCGCUAGUAAUCGUAGAUCAGCAUGCUACGGUGAAUACGUUCCCGGGUCU